rnacentral:RNase_P_RNA from 1 species
CGAGUUCGCCAGACGGCCGCGGUUGCUCAGGGCAAUCGAGGAAAGUCCGGACUCCACAGGACAGGGAGCUGGGUAACGCCCAGGCGGGGCGACCCGACGGAAAGUGCUACAGAGACCAGACCGCCGAUGGCCCUUCGGGGCACAGGCAAGGGUGAAACGGUGGUGUAAGAGACCACCAGCAUCCCGGGAGACCGGGGUGGCUGGUAAACCCCUCCCGGAGCAAGGUCAAGCAGAGGCGUCGGCGGUCCGCCGGUCAAGCUUCGGGUGGACCGCACCGAGGUCUGGCGGCAACGCAGACCCCAGAUGGAUGGCCGUCGCCCGUUACAGGCGGGUACAGAAUCCGGCUUACCGGCGGGCUCGUCGC